GACGAACGCUGGCGGCGUGCUUAACACAUGCAAGUCGAACGGAAAGGCCCUGCUUUUGUGGGGUGCUCGAGUGGCGAACGGGUGAGUAACACGUGAGUAACCUGCCCUUGACUUUGGGAUAACUUCAGGAAACUGGGGCUAAUACCGGAUAGGAGCUCCUGCUGCAUGGUGGGGGUUGGAAAGUUUCGGCGGUUGGGGAUGGACUCGCGGGUUAUCAGCUUGUUGGUGGGGUAGUGGUUUACCAAGGCUUUGACGGGUAGCCGGCCUGAGAGGGUGACCGGCCACAUUGGGACUGAGAGACGGCCCAGACUGCUACGGGAGGCAGCAGUGGGGAAUAUUGCACAAUGGGCGGAAGCCUGAUGCAGCAACGCCGCGUGCGGGAUGACGGCCUUCGGGUUGUAAACCGCUGUCGCCUGUGACGAAGCGUGAGUGACGGUAAUGGGUAAAGAAGCACCGGCUAACUACGUG
rnacentral:rRNA from 1 species